UCCGCGGACGAUCCACACAUUCCUGGCGAAGGUUUGGUGCUCUUAACCGGGUGUCUUGCCAAGUAGCCAGGGCUUUUACCUUGAGCAAAUUAGAGUGUUCAAAGCAGGCAACAUGUUCGCCUGAAUAGAUUAGCAUGGAAUAAUAGAAUAGGACCUUGGUUCUAUUUUGUUGGUUUUUAGGAACCACGGUAAUGAUUAAUAGGGACAGUUGGGGGCAUUUGUAUUUAAUUGUCAGAGGUGAAAUUCUUGGAUCUAUUAAAGACAAACUAAUGCGAAAGCAUUUGCCAAGGAUGUUUUCAUUAAUCAAGAACGAAAGUUAGGGGAUCGAAGACGAUUAGAUACCGUCGUAGUCUUAACCAUAAACUAUGCCGACUAGGGAUCGGGCGGUGUUACCUUUUUGAUGACCCGCUCGGCACCUUUCGAGAAAUCAAAGUGUUUAGGCUCCCGGGGGGAGUAUGGUCGCAAGGCUGAAACUUAAAGGAAUUGACGGAAGGGCACCACCAGGAGUGGAGCCUGCGGCUUAAUUUGACUCAACACGGGGAAACUCACCAGGUCCAGACAUAGGUGGGAUUGACAGACUGAUAGCUUUUUCAUGAUUCUAUGGAUGGUGGUGCAUGGCCGUUCUUAGUUGGUGGACUGAUUUGUCUGGUUAAUUCCGAUAACGAACGAGACCUUAACCUGCUAAAUAGUGACCAGGACUUCUAGGACGGAUGAGGUUGUGUACCGGCGCGG
rnacentral:rRNA from 1 species